GACGAACGCUGGCGGCGUGCUUAACACAUGCGAGUCGAACGGAAAGGCCUGCUUUCCCUUGUGGAUUGCGGGUACUCGAGUGGCGAACGGGUGAGUAACACGUGAGUGAUCUGCCCCCAACUUGGGUAUAAGCCUGGGAAACUGGGUCUAAUUCCCGAUAGGACUGCAGGGUGGUGCCUGUGGUGGAAAACGAUUUUCUAGUGGUUGGGGAUGAGCUCGCGGCCUAUCAGCUUGUUGGUGGGGUAAUGGCCUACCAAGGCGGCGACGGGUAGCCGGCCUGAGAGGGUGGACGGCCACAUUGGGACUGAGAUACGGCCCAGACUCCUACGGGAGGCAGCAGUGGGGAAUAUUGCACAAUGGGCGGAAGCCUGGUGCAGCGACGCCGCGUGGGGGAUGACGGCCUUCGGGUUGUAAACUCCUUUCGACCGCGAGGAAGCCACCUGGUUGGAAGGGUGGUGACGGUAGUGGUAGAAGAAGCACCGGCUAACUACGUG
rnacentral:rRNA from 1 species